rnacentral:rRNA from 1 species
CCUACGGGUGGCUGCAGUGAGGAAUAUUGGUCAAUGGUCGGGAGACUGAACCAGCCAAGCCGCGUGAGGGAGGAAGGUACAGAGUAUCGUAAACCUCUUUUGUCAGGGAAUAAAGGCGGGGACGUGUCCCCGGAUGAGUGUACCUGAAGAAAAAGCAUCGGCUAACUCCGUGCCAGCAGCCGCGGUAAUACGGAGGAUGCGAGCGUUAUCCGGAUUUAUUGGGUUUAAAGGGUGCGCAGGCGGUCUGUUAAGUCAGCUGUGAAAGUUUGUGGCUCAACCAUAGAAUUGCCGUUGAAACUGGCGGCCUUGCGUAUAUUUGAGGUAGGCGGAAUGCGUGGUGUAGCGGUGAAAUGCAUAGAUAUCACGCAGAACUCCGAUUGCGAAGGCAGCCUACCAAACUAUCACUGACAUUGAUGCUCGAAAGCGUGGGGAUCAAACAGGAUUAGAUACCCCAGUAGUC